rnacentral:rRNA from 1 species
GAUGAACGCUAGCUACAGGCUUAACACAUGCAAGUCGAGGGAAACGACAUCGAAAGCUUGCUUUUGAUGGGCGUCGACCGGCGCACGGGUGAGUAACGCGUAUCCAACCUGCCCACCACUUGGGGAUAACCUUGCGAAAGUAAGACUAAUACCCAAUGACGUCUCUAGAAGACAUCUGAAAGAGAUUAAAGAUUUAUCGGUGAUGGAUGGGGAUGCGUCUGAUUAGCUUGUUGGCGGGGUAACGGCCCACCAAGGCGACGAUCAGUAGGGGUUCUGAGAGGAAGGUCCCCCACAUUGGAACUGAGACACGGUCCAAACUCCUACGGGAGGCAGCAGUGAGGAAUAUUGGUCAAUGGGCGCAGGCCUGAACCAGCCAAGUCGCGUGAGGGAGGACGGUCCUACGGAUUGUAAACCUCUUUUGUCGGGGAGUAACGUGCGGGACGCGUCCCGUAUUGAGAGUACCCGAAGAAAAAGCAUCGGCUAACUCCGUG